ensembl:misc_RNA Y_RNA Y RNA
CUCUAGCCUGGGUGUGAGUUAUCUCGAUUGAUUGUUCACAGUCAGUUACAGAUUGAACUCCUUAUUCUACUCUUUCCCCCUUCUCACUACUGCACUUGACUAGUCUUAA